rnacentral:rRNA from 1 species
GACGAACGCUGGCGGCGUGCUUAACACAUGCAAGUCGAACGGUGAACGAGGGAGCUUGCUCCCUCCGGAUCAGUGGCGAACGGGUGAGUAACACGUGAGCAAUCUGCCCUGGACUCUGGGAUAAGCGUUGGAAACGACGUCUAAUACCGGAUACGAGGCGUGGGGGCAUCCCCAACGCCUGGAAAGAACUUCGGUCCAGGAUGAGCUCGCGGCCUAUCAGCUAGUUGGUGAGGUAACGGCUCACCAAGGCGACGACGGGUAGCCGGCCUGAGAGGGUGACCGGCCACACUGGGACUGAGACACGGCCCAGACUCCCACGGGAGGCAGCAGUGGGGAAUAUUGCACAAUGGGCGCAAGCCUGAUGCAGCAACGCCGCGUGAGGGACGACGGCCUUCGGGUUGUAAACCUCUUUUAGCAGGGAAGAAGCGAAAGUGACGGUACCUGCAGAAAAAGCACCGGCCAACUACGUGCCAGCAGCCGCCGUAAGAC